rnacentral:rRNA from 1 species
GGCGAACGCUAGCGGCGUGCCUAAUACAUGCAAGUCGAGCGGACCGGAUUGGGGCUUGCCUUGAUUCGGUCAGCGGCGGACGGGUGAGUAACACGUGGGCAACCUGCCCGCAAGACCGGGAUAACUCCGGGAAACCGGAGCUAAUACCGGAUAACACCGAAGACCGCAUGGUCUUCGGUUGAAAGGCGGCCUUUGGGCUGUCACUUGCGGAUGGGCCCGCGGCGCAUUAGCUAGUUGGUGAGGUAACGGCUCACCAAGGCGACGAUGCGUAGCCGGCCUGAGAGGGUGACCGGCCACACUGGGACUGAGACACGGCCCAGACUCCUACGGGAGGCAGCAGUAGGGAAUCUUCCGCAAUGGGCGAAAGCCUGACGGAGCGACGCCGCGUGAGCGAAGAAGGCCUUCGGGUCGUAAAGCUCUGUUGUGAGGGACGAAGGAGCGUCGUUCGAAGAGGGCGGCGCGGUGACGGUACCUCACGAGAAAGCCCCGGCUAACUACGUG